rnacentral:rRNA from 1 species
UACGGAGGGUGCAAGCGUUGUCCGGAUUUAUUGGGUUUAAAGGGCUCGUAGGCGGCCAACUAAGUCGGAUGUGAAAUCCCCAGGCUCAACCUGGGAACUGCAUCCGAUACUGGAUGGCUUGAAUUCGGGAGAGGGAUGCAGAAUUCCAGGUGUAGCGGUGAAAUGCGUAGAUAUUCGGAAGAACACCAGUGGCGAAGGCGGCUCACUGGUCCGGUACUGACGCUGAGGUGCGAAAGCGUGGGGAGCAAACAGG